CCUACGGGGGGCAGCAGUGAGGAAUAUUGGUCAAUGGGCGCAAGCCUGAACCAGCCAAGUAGCGUGCGGGAUGAAGGCCCUACGGGUCGUAAACUGCUUUUGCACGGGGAUAACACCCUCCACUUGUGGAUGUCUGCAGGUACCGUGCGAAUAAGGGCCGGCUAAUUCCGUGCCAGCAGCCGCGGUAAUACGGAAGGCCCGGGCGUUAUCCGGAUUUAUUGGGCUUAAAGGGAGCGUAGGCGGGUAUUUAAGUCAGCUGUGAAAUUCGGCGGCUUAACCGGCGACCCGCAUGUGAAACUGGGCGGCUUGAGUACACAAGAGGCAGGCGGAAUUCGUGGUGUAGCGGUGAAAUGCGUAGAUAUCACGAGGAACCCCGAUGGCGAAGGCAGCCUGCCGGGGUGUGACUGACGCUGAGGCUCGAAGGUGCGGGUAUCAAACAGGAUUAGAUACCCCUGUAGUC
rnacentral:rRNA from 1 species